rnacentral:rRNA from 1 species
AGUGAACGCUGGCGGUAGGCCUAACACAUGCAAGUCGAACGGCAGCACAGUAAGAGCUUGCUCUUACGGGUGGCGAGUGGCGGACGGGUGAGGAAUACAUCGGAAUCUACUUUUUCGUGGGGGAUAACGUAGGGAAACUUACGCUAAUAUCGCAUACGACCUACGGGUGAAAGCAGGGGAACUUCGGACCUUGCGCGAUUGAAUGAGCCGAUGUCGGAUUAGCUAGUUGGCGGGGUAAAGGCCCACCAAGGCGACGAUCCGUAGCUGGUCUGAGAGGAUGAUAGGCCACACUGGAGCUGAGACACGGUCCAGACUCCUACGGGAGGCAGCAGUGGGGAAUAUUGGACAAUAGGCGCAAGCCUGGUCCAGCCAUACCGCGUGGGUGAAGAAGGCCUUCGGGUUGUAAAGCCCUUUUGUUGGGAAAGAAAAGCAGCAGGUUAAUACCCCGCUGUUCUGACGGUACCCAAAGAAUAAGCACCGGCUAACUUCGUG